UACGGGGGGGGCAAGCGUUGUUCGGAAUUACUGGGCGUAAAGCGUGCGCAGGCGGUUCGUUGUGUCGGCGGUGAAAGCCCCGGGCUUAACCUGGGAAUGGCCGUUGAAACUGGCGAACUGGAGUGUGGCAGAGGGGGGUGGAAUUCCGCGUGUAGCAGUGAAAUGCGUAGAGAUGCGGAGGAACACCGAUGGCGAAGGCAGCCCCCUGGGCUAACACUGACGCUCAGGCACGAAAGCGUGGGGAGCAAACAGG
rnacentral:rRNA from 1 species